GUUUCAGUAGCAUAGUGGUUAGUGCAAAGCCCCGGAUAGAUUGAGAUGCGGGUUCAAAUCCCGCCUGAGAUG
rfam:Nippostrongylus brasiliensis genome assembly, scaffold: NBR_scaffold0000073